CCUACGGGAGGCAGCAGUGGGGAAUAUUGCACAAUGGGCGCAAGCCUGAUGCAGCGACGCCGCGUGAGGGAUGACGGCCUUCGGGUUGUAAACCUCUUUCAGUAGGGAAGAAGCGAAAGUGACGGUACCUGCAGAAGAAGCGCCGGCUAACUACGUGCCAGCAGCCGCGGUAAUACGUAGGGCGCAAGCGUUAUCCGGAAUUAUUGGGCGUAAAGAGCUCGUAGGCGGUUUGUCGCGUCUGCCGUGAAAGUCCGGGGCUCAACUCCGGAUCUGCGGUGGGUACGGGCAGACUAGAGUGAUGUAGGGGAGACUGGAAUUCCUGGUGUAGCGGUGAAAUGCGCAGAUAUCAGGAGGAACACCGAUGGCGAAGGCAGGUCUCUGGGCAUUAACUGACGCUGAGGAGCGAAAGCAUGGGGAGCGAACAGGAUUAGAUACCCUGGUAGUCCAUGCCGUAAACGUUGGGCACUAGGUGUGGGGGACAUUCCACGUUUUCCGCGCCGUAGCUAACGCAUUAAGUGCCCGCCUGGGGAAGUCGGCCGCAAGGNUAAACUGAAAGAUUGACGNNGNGNGNGCGAGNGACACGAGGAGAG
rnacentral:rRNA from 1 species